AACGAACGCUGGCGGCAGGCUUAACACAUGCAGGUCGAACGGGUGUAGCAAUACAUCAGUGGCAGACGGGUGAGUAUCACGUGGGAACCUUCCUAGAGGUACGGAACAACUCAGGGAAACUUGAGCUAAUACCGCAUACGCUCUUGCGAGGAAAGAUUUAUCGCCUUUAGACGGGCCCGCGUCGGAUUAGCUAGUUGGUGGGGUAACGGCCUACCAAGUCGACGAUCCGUAGCUGAUCUGAGAGGAUGAUCAGCCACACUGGGACUGGGACACGGCCCAGACUCCUACGGGAGGCAGCAGUGGGGAAUCUUGGACAAUGGGCGCUAGCCUGAUCCAGCCAUGCCGCGUGAGUGAAGAAGGCCUUCGGGUUGUAAAGCUCUUUUGUCAGGGACGAUAAUGACGGUACCUGAAGAAUAAGCCCCGGCAAACUUCGUGCCAGCAGCCGCGGUAAGAC
rnacentral:rRNA from 1 species